UACGGGGUAGGGCAAGCGUUGUCCGGAUUUACUGGGCGUAAAGGGCGCGUAGGCGGUCGUGACAAGUCACUUGUGAAAUCUCCGGGCUUAACUCGGAACGGUCAAGUGAUACUGUCGGACUAGAGUACAGAAGGGGCAACUGGAAUUCUCGGUGUAGCGGUGAAAAUGCGUAGAUAUCGAGAGGAACACCUGCGGCGAAGGCGGGUUGCUGGGCUGAUACUGACGCUGAGGCGCGAAAGCCAGGGGAGCGAACGGG
rnacentral:rRNA from 1 species